rnacentral:rRNA from 1 species
CGGCGGACGGGUGAGUAAUGCUUAGGAAUCUGCCUAUUAGUGGGGGACAACAUUCCGAAAGGGAUGCUAAUACCGCAUACGCCCUACAGGGGAAAGCAAGGGAUCUUCCGACCUUUGCCCUAAUAAUAUAACCCUAAUUCGAAUUACCUAUUUGUUGGGGUAAAGGCCUCCCUUGUGCCAAUCUUUAUCGAAGGCGACGAUCUGUAGCGGGUCUGAGAGGAUGAUCCGCCACACUGGGACUGAGACACGGCCCAGACUCCUACGGGAGGCAGCAGUGGGGAAUAUUGGACAAUGGGCGAAAGCCUGAUCCAGCCAUGCCGCGUGUGUGAAGAAGGCCUUUUGGUUGUAAAGCACUUUAAGCGAGGAGGAGGCUACUUAGAUUAAUACUCUAGGAUAGUGGACGUUACUCGCAGAAUAAGCACCGGCUAACUCUGUGCCAGCAGCCGCGGUAAUACAGAGGGUGCGAGCGUUAAUCGGAUUUACUGGGCGUAAAGCGUGCGUAGGCGGCUUUUUAAGUCGGAUGUGAAAUCCCUGAGCUUAACUUAGGAAUUGCAUUCGAUACUGGGAAGCUAGAGUAUGGGAGAGGAUGGUAGAAUUCCAGGUGUAGCG